AGACUUCCUACAUAAAUAAAUGUUGCCCUGAAGCACUUGUAGUCCAGUUGUUACUGCUUUGUGCUAGUGGUGAAGGAUCCCAAAGAGAAUGGAAUAUAAGCCCUGUCCGUCGUGUGGGAGCCCAGCAGAUGGAGCAGUGUUCCUGUGCAUGAGGAGGUGUGGGGCCGCAUCCAGAGCUGCGCUGUGCAGUCGAGCCGAUCUGCCCCAGUGCAUCUAUGAAGCACGGAAUAAAAGUGAUGGAACUGAGCUCUGCUGCUGUGCAAGCACAGCCCGGCCAGGUUACGUGCUGAGGGCUCUGCCUGCCCUUAACUACCUGCCGUGAGUCUCAGCUGGUGCACUCAGGUAAG